CCGUGAAUGUGGCAGAUGACUGGGGUGGAGAGAAACCUCAGGGCUAAUGGGGCCUGAGCUGAGACUUGCAGUAAGAGGAGGAUUUGGUGUCUGUAUCAUCACAGGCCAUGACUAACACGGUGGGCUCUUUGAAGAUGUCCCUGCCUGAAGCACCGAGGACGCUCCACCAAAUUCAGAAGCAGACUCUCUUCUUCCACCUCAUGUGGUCGUGCUGGCCUCACCAGGCGCGUGCCCGAGCUGGCUGACUGCCUCGCAUUGUGCUGAGGACCUAUAGCAGAUGUGAGUGCCCGGACAGCAGUAACCAGGAAAACUCCAAGGAAAAUCUCUGGGAGAGAAGCCCCCAUGCCCUCCGAUGGGAUAUCAAGCUAAGUGAAAGCAGGAUGUGAAGGUGCUUUGUAGGUUGUAGAGUGUAAGAGAUUCCCUUCCUUGUUUUCUUCCUUCUUCGUCCCUCCCUCCCUUCUCCAUCUAUUGAGCAGUGACUGGCAUUCUGCGAAGGGAUGGACACAUGAAGAUGGUCAGAACACAGGUCCUGCUCCCACAAUUCAUAGUGGAGAGGGGAGAUGAGACACACAAAAAGGGUCAUUAUUUCUUUGAUUUUAAGAUGCACUCUCAACGUAAGAGUUUCUGAGGAAAAAAAAUCAGAAACAGUAUCACACUAAAUGUACACAUUGUUUGCAAAACAUCCUUAUUUUAGAAACAUACAGAUGUGAAAAAAGGGUAUGUUUCAAAAUUGAGCACUUUGGGCAGAGUAGUCAGUAUCACAAUAGGAGUAGGUAGAGUGACUUAUCAGAACAUAAAAAUGUGGGGGGAAAAAAUCUCUGUCUUAAAAGUAGUAGUUACAGCAGUGUGAUCGUUGUCAUAAGAGCGGGGGUACAAGGCUCCACUGGAACCCACUGGAAGGAGAUCUGAACGCUGCCUGGGGACACCAGGUAGGGCUUCAGUGGAAGAUGGUGUUGCAGGGCCACCUUCUAG
ensembl:lncRNA